rnacentral:antisense_RNA from 1 species
CUGAGCAGCCACAUCACAGUCCAGGAGGUGCCGCUUCCACAUUUUGUGCUGCUGCAUAUAUGCCGUGCUCUACAUGGGUCACAGGUGGAUUCUGCCUUGGAAGCAAAGCAACAGUAAAGAGUGUUCAAUUCAAUUGGUGAAUAUUGAUGCAAGGAGGAGGCUUCGAAUUCCUCUGGCUUAUUUGAAAGCCACUUGUAACACUUCCCCAGCAGGAGCAAACAAUAAAACACUGAGAAGUACAAAGGAAAUGGAAGAAAAUCUAUUUUGGGAUCAAAGAGCUCCUUCCACCAAGGAAAGCAGAACCCCUGAAUCAACAGGCACCUGGAUUGUGUAGACAAGAU